rnacentral:rRNA from 1 species
AGAGUUUGAUCCUGGCUCAGGACGAACGCUGGCGGCGUGCCUAAUACAUGCAAGUCGAGCGGAGUUGUGAUGGAGCUUGCUCCUGAACAGCUUAGCGGCGGACGGGUGAGUAACACGUGGGCAACCUGCCUGUAAGAUCGGGAUAACUCACGGAAACGUGUGCUAAGACCGAAUAGUCGGAGUCAACGCAUGUUGAUUCC